GGUUAAGCGACUAAGCGUACACGGUGGAUGCCCUGGCAGUCAGAGGCGAUGAAGGACGUGCUAAUCUGCGAAAAGCGUCGGUAAGGUGAUAUGAACCGUUAUAACCGGCGAUGUCCGAAUGGGGAAACCCAGUGCAAUUCGUUGCACUAUCGUUAACUGAAUACAUAGGUUAACGAGGCGAACCGGGGGAACUGAAACAUCUAAGUACCCCGAGGAAAAGAAAUCAACCGAGAUUCCCCCAGUAGCGGCGAGCGAACGGGGAGCAGCCCAGAGUCUGAAUCAGCUUGUGUGUUAGUGGAACGGUCUGGAAAGUCCGACGGUACAGGGUGAUAGUCCCGUACACCAAAAUGCACAGGUUGUGAACUCGAAGAGUAGGGCGGGACACGUGGUAUCCUGUCUGAAUAUGGGGGGACCAUCCUCCAAGGCUAAAUACUCCUGACUGACCGAUAGUGAACCAGUACCGUGAGGGAAAGGCGAAAAGAACCCCGGCGAGGGGAGUGAAAAAGAACCUGAAACCGUGUACGUACAAGCAGUGGGAGCACCUUCGGGUGUGACUGCGUACCUUUUGUAUAAUGGGUCAGCGACUUAUAUUCUGUAGCAAGGUUAACCGUAUAGGGGAGCCGCAGGGAAACCGAGUCUUAACUGGGCGUUAAGUUGCAGGGUAUAGACCCGAAACCCGGUGAUCUAGCCAUGGGCAGGUUGAAGGUUGGGUAACACUAACUGGAGGACCGAACCGACUAAUGUUGAAAAAUUAGCGGAUGACUUGUGGCUGGGGGUGAAAGGCCAAUCAAACCGGGAGAUAGCUGGUUCUCCCCGAAAGCU
rnacentral:rRNA from 1 species